rnacentral:rRNA from 1 species
GAUCGCUGUGAUGCGGGCGGUUCGCCGCCCGUGACUCUGCGAGAAGUCCAUUGAACCUUAUCAUUUAGAGGAAGGAGAAGUCGUAACAAGGUUUCCGUAGGUGAACCUGCGGAAGGAUCAUUGUCGAGACCGGAAUAUAUCGAGCGAUUCGGAGAACCCGUAAGAUACACGGUGGCCAUUGCCACCGUAAAAUAAAAAGCCAUCCCAGUUGCUGCCUCAUCCCCUUCGGGGCGGGGCACGAUGAAGGAUGGAUGAACACCCAAACCGGCGCAGCAUCGCGCCAAGGGAAUAUCGAAACACGGGCCCUUCAUCGGGCUUGGUGGCGCGGGGUGCUGUGGCACGCCGCAUGGAUUGACACGACUCUCGGCAAUGGAUAUCUCGGCUCUCGCAUCGAUGAAGAGCGCAGCGAAAUGCGAUACGUGGUGCGAAUUGCAGAAUCCCGCGAACCAUCGAGUCUUUGAACGCAAGUUGCGCCCGAGGCCAACCGGCCGAGGGCGCGUCCGCCUGGGCGUCAAGCGUUGCAUCGCUCCGUGCCAACCCCGUCCCAUCCAUCAGUGGGUGGGCGGGCGGAGGGUCGGAUGCGGAGAGUGGCUCGUCGUGCCCAUGGGCGCGGCGGGCUGAAGAGCGGGUUAUCAUCUCGUUGGCCGCGAACAACAAGGGGUGGAUGAAAGCAAGGCCCGCGUUGUUGUAUCGUGCUGGCCGGAGAGAGGAUUACGCUUCUCAGGUGAUCCCAAACCAUGCGUCGAUCCACGGACGGCGGCUUGGAAUGCGACCCCAGGAUGGGCGAGGCCACCCGCCGAGUUUAAGCAUAUCAAUAAGCGGAGGAGAAGAAACUUACGAGGAUUCCCC